rnacentral:tRNA from 1 species
GGUCCUGUAACUCAGUUGGUAGAGUGUCUCCCUUACAAGGAGAAAGUCACAAGUUCGAGUCUUGUCGGGACCACCA